rnacentral:rRNA from 1 species
CCUACGGGUGGCUGCAGUGGGGAAUCUUGCACAAUGGAGGAAACUCUGAUGCAGCGACGCCGCGUGGACGACGAAGCCCUUCGGGGUGUAAAGUCCUUUCGACCGGAACGAUAAUGACGGUACCGGUGGAAGAAGCUGCGGCUAACUACGUGCCAGCAGCCGCGGUAAUACGUAGGCAGCAAGCGUUGUUCGGAAUUAUUGGGCGUAAAGAGCUCGUAGGCGGUUUGCCAAGUUUGGUGUGAAAUCUCCCGGCUUAACUGGGAGGGUGCGCCGAA